UUUUGUAUGUGUUUUUAUACUUUUAGAAAAUAAAUAACUUCUGAUUGACUCAUAGUAAAGCAAGCAGCAGGGGGUCAUUUGUUUCCCAUCUGGAGAGGGGCAGGGAGCUAUGCAGUGUCUUCCCGAGGUAUGCGGGGAACCUCAGUCUAAAGGCACCAGUCAGGGGAGAUGGGCUGUGAGAUGAAAUGUGACCUUUGUUUAGAAAUGCAGUUGUGGGCUUUGUGGAGACAGCAUCUGGUUAGGGUCCCCGUAGUGGGGCCCAGAGACUCUGGGCAGACACAGGCACCUUGGGUCCAGAGCCACCUCCUAGCCCCAUUCCAGCUUCCUCUGGCACCACCAGCCUUUGGUAGAACACAACUUGGGAGGCAUUAGACGCUUGAUGUAAAUCAUGACCUGGCCCUGGCCAGUGGGAUGUGGGUUGUGCCGCUUCUAGGUCUGGUUCUUGUAAAGCCCACACGCUGUCCCUUCAGCAGAGACCUUGGGGGCCAGAGCAGAUUGAUGGCAUCUUUGGUCCCAAUCCUUCUCACGUGGAUUCUCUGACACUCCUUCUCCACACCCUUUCCAUGUGACGUUCCAUUUCCUCUGAAGAGGUGCAGUUCCCCUGAUGUGACACCUGUAGAGGCUGGACGCUGAAGAAGCAUUUGCUUGUUCUGCUUUACUUUUGCACCUCUGCAAUUACCUUAAAACCAUGCCGGGGGGAGGUGGCGGGGGUCUUGUUCAAUAAAAUACAGAUUUGGCUCCCAGGUGACGCUGAAGCUGCUGGUCCGUGGACCACACACACUUUGAGCAGCAAGGAUGUGGAUCACUGGAUUGAAGGAGACCGUGCUCUGCGCCCUGCUCUCCACAGCAAACUGGGCUGCUUCUGAGUGAUCGCUUCCCUGUCCAGGCCUAUAAAAUAGCAGACUGGACUAGAAGAUCUCUAAGAUUCCUUUCAGAUCUAACAUGCUGUGAUUCUAGUCUGGUUACCCCUGUGACAGUUGAGUAAACUAGCCUUGCCCAGUGGCCGGUCUGGACUUGCACAUUUCUAAUAGUGGGGAAAUUACUGCAUGCAUGUAAGGCGUCCGUCCCGUUUCACCUUGGAAUCGCUCAACUCUCAGUGGCAGAGA